UGGUGAUUCUGAUGUUGGUGAUGGCACAGUGGAGUUGAUAAUAAAGGCAGUGACGUGAUGCUGGGGACAAUGAUGAUAUUAGGGAUGAUGAUGUUGGGGAUGAUGGGGAUAAUGGGGGGGGUUUAAUUAAUACCCCUCCUUUGGCUGUCCUCUUGAGUCUUUCAGAUUCAAAUGAGCAAGUAAAGUUUCUUGGGAGCUCAUUAAUUGUUGUAACUCGUUACAUUAGGGUGGGUUAGUGCUAGAGAAUGGGCAAGGAAUUCCAAUGCCUACAUUCCUUCCGGGGGUCAGUUAGCCAAGGUCCUGUUCUCCAUUCUCCGGGGGGAAGCUCUGGUGGCAUUAGGCCAACAAGCAGUUUAAUUCCAUAUGGACCUUGAAGGCUCCCCAGCCUGCUUAACUUCUGUGUCUCCUUUGCCUUGGCCACCCUGUGUGUGAAAGUACUUCUGUAAGAUGAGAAAGAAAGAAAAGAGGUUCUAUACAAAACGUAUGUUUUGCAGGAAAGAAAAGUUAUCUAGUAUUUACAUAAAUCCUCCCACCAUUCCUGACAUGAUUCAUGCCUGGCAUAAAAAAUCAAACAAACAGGACGUGGGUGAGAGACUUAAGGUGCAAAAGGACGCCGUGUAGUGUCUGUAGUAAGUUUGUGUCUUUAAAGAGCUAUCCAUGCCUCGCUUAUCAAUUAAGAACUUUGUUUGUAUUUCUAUGGAAUAAUUAUGCUUUAUUUUCAUUCCAGUUAGCACAAUCUCGCUUAAAAUGUAGGUAACUGCAAUGUUGAAACUGCCUAUUUCCACUGGAAACUUUUGAAAGACUAAACGUAUCCUUGUUACUUUUUUGAGUGAGGCCAGGUUCUGCCGGAAAUGUGUGCACGUGAUGUUGCUAUCUGUGUGUGUGCACGCAUGCAGUUACACACAUGUGCUGUAUCAACAAUGAUGCAUUUCAUUUGGGAGAAAAUGGUAAAGAGGUAAUCAAUCAGAAUGCCGGCUACAUCAUGACAGUGCUUCCAAUGCCAAGUACACCCUAUAAUAGAAAUCAGGAUUUUAAAUAGUUGUUUUUGUUGGGUGAGAAUGGCCCAGAAUAUCUGUCUUGUUUCUUGCAAAGAUUAAAUGAUAAGGUAUGAUGAUUACUUAUUGGUUCCAAUUCAUUUGCUGUCGGCUGGUUUUUGUUUGGUCAGAUUUUCUAUUAUCCUCACGCAGAUUUCCAGUCUUGCUGGGAAAGUCAGAGACCUUUUCAGAAACUAAUAUUGCCUUUUAGUAAAUUCUGAUAUGUGUUUGAGGAUUUUAUCAACCAAGAGGUCAAUAGUUAUUAGUGAGAAAUUAAAUAUUACUUAUUCAAAUUAUGAAUUUUAGCUCAUCUGCUUACCUUGAAAGCAUUUAGCAUGCUAAAAAAAAAUUUCUCUUGGCCUAGAAGACCUCAGCAUGAAAGGUGUCUUUGUUUAUAUUUUGAGACAUAACUCAUGGUGAAUUAUCUUUUACAUAAUAUAAUCUUUAGCCUAAUAGUGUUUUAUCUUAUGUUAUCUAAUGUAUAGUCUAUAAGUAAGCUAACAAUUUUAUACUUUUCUAAAAUGCUAUUUCAAUUAUACACACAUACACUCAUAACCUUAAAAGCAUGUUACUAAGUGAAAGAAGCCAAUUUUGGAAGGCCACAUACUNNNNNNNNNNNNNNNNNNNNNNNNNNNNNNNNNNNNNNNNNNNNNNNNNNNNNNNNNNNNNNNNNNNNNNNNNNNNNNNNNNNNNNNNNNNNNNNNNNNUAAAAGCAUGUUACUAAGUGAAAGAAGCCAAUUUUGGAAGGCCACAUACUAUAUGAUUUUGUUAAUAACUGUAUGACCUUCUGGAAGAAUCAGAACUAUUGAGACAGUAAAAAGAUCAGUGGUUGCUAAGAGUUGGGAGUGGGUGUGAGUAGACAGAUCAAAGAGAAUUUUUAGGGCAGUGAAAAUCCUCUGCAUGAUUCUGUUAUGAUGGAUAAACAUGGGUAAGCAUCUUUAUACAUUUGUCCAAACCCACAGAAGGUAGACACCAAGAGCAGACUGUAACGUAAACUGUAAACUUUGGAUGCCUAUGAUGUGUCCAUGCAGGUUCAUUACUUGUAACAAAUGUCCCCUCUGGGGGAUCCUGAUACUGGGGGGUGCUGUGCACUGUGGGAGCAGGGGGCACGCGGGAGGCCU
ensembl:lncRNA